rnacentral:rRNA from 1 species
CGGACGGGUGAGUAACGCGUGGGUAACCUGCCUUGUCUGGGGACGAACAGUUGGAAAGACUGCUAAUACCGCAUAAGCGCACAGCUUCGCAUGAAGCAGUGUGAAAAACUCCGGUGGUACAAGAUGGACCCGCGUCUGAUUAGCUGGUUGGUGAGGUAACGGCCCACCAAGGCAACGAUCAGUAGCCGGCCUGAGAGGGUGAACGGCCACAUUGGGACUGAGACACGGCCCAA